rfam:Acidithiobacillales bacterium SG8_45 WOR_8-12_48, whole genome shotgun sequence.
CGCCGGCUUCCCCGCGACGGCCAGCCGUGAACCCCGUCAGGCCCGGAAGGGAGCAGCGGUAACGGUGACGCCGGGUGCCGGGGAGUCGCUGGCGCGG